CAAUAUCAAACAAUUGAGAAUUUUUUUGUUGCAGCAAGAAAAAUGUAAGUAGCAAGAAAUAAGGAAAAUAUAUGAAAAAAUUCAACAUAAAUGAAUCAUAGUUUCCAUUUUAUGGUUUUUAUUCUCAUAAAUCUCUCUCAUUUCCUCUUGUAUACUAGAAAACCAAUUGAAUGACACAACCACUUGAAAACAACAUUCAUCGCAUGUGUCUCCCUAUUCAAGAGACGUGUUGGAUCAUAUUGUCAAUCAAGUAUUCAUUCUUCCCUUCUAGUAAGCAAGAAUGUGGAAGAAUGUCGCCGCCUGGACACACAAUCUGCCAGGCCUGCCCCCAGCAGCUUCCUCCCUCCCUCCUCAACAACAUCAACUGCCCAGAAUGCAAUCAGGUUGCAAAGUUCCCCGCUCUGCUGCCAGCUUUCACCAGUGAUGGCAGUUCAUCUGGUUCUGUGAUUAGGCUUACCCAUGGUUUGAAGAAGAUGGAGAAAGAAAGUUCCGUGAAGAGAUGAAGAAGAGCAAGAGAGACAGAGCAUGCAAGCUUAACAGGCAACGAAAUUUUCCAUGGAUUUCAAUCGCAUCCCUCGAGGGUGGAUUGAAAUCCAUGGAAUGGUAUCCCAGUUUCGUAUCUAAAUUCCAGGAUUUUGUUCCAGCGUUUGCUGGGAUCUGGAUUUUUCGGAAAAUAAGGAAUCCAACUUGAAGAGUGGAAUCCACGCACAACAAACACGCCCUAAUAGGAGUUUUACUAUAUUAGAUCAGAUUAAGAUGGACCUUUCCUUUGUACAACUCACUCAACAGCAAAAUUUGAUGCCUGAUGCAGUGAAAUUAAUGUCAACAAAAAAAAUGAGAGGCAUAAAAAUCUGCCAGACACAGACUGAACAGCACUUGCCAAAUGGUGGUGAAAAUCGCAUUAGGCAUAAAAACCAGGUUAAGCUCUUGAAGGCUACCGAAAUUUUUAACAUGCUUAAGAGGUAUGAUUUCAAUGGUUAAAGUAGCUAUGUCCACCAGCUCUUCAAAGAAUAAAAAAUGCUGGUGAUUGAGCAAUAAAAAACAACAUACUGUAGGUGUUAUUUUUUUAGGCGGCAGUUAAUAGAUUAUGUUCCACACAUUUAAUCUUGUUCAGAAAUGUGUGUUUUAGGCGGCAGUUAAUCCAGUUUAAAAAGUGAGAGUGGUGAAGUGGACAUCGGCAAAAUUUGAAGAGUUAAGAAAUUUGCAAGUUUGCUAAAAUCAAUGUGCAAAUUUUAAAAAGCUAAGUUUAUUUUGUUAUACAGUAAAAUAUAAGGAGGUUCUCUCUCUCUCUCUCUCUCUCUCUCUCUCUUUUGGUACAAUGAAGCUGUUUUUGGUUGCAACUAUCGGCACAUUCUUCCAAGGAAUGAGAAAACAGAGUUAAACGACAUAGAAACUUAAGCUUCUUAAGAGUUGACAUUUUGGAUUAGGCCUGACCUCGACCUGAUCCAAAAUGUACCUGCUUGCCCAACAAUACUCAUGUCACGAAAAUGGUGCAUGAACAUAGGUACACCUGACCAAGUCAUGUAGCCAUGUUGCAUAGGUUUAAUGGAAAUUUGAGAUUGCUUGGACUUCUCCAAUGCAUUGUCAUUCUAUCCCUGACCAUGCAUAGAUCCUCUUCUCAUCUUCCGACUCUCCAUCAUUCCUUACUUGCAAAAAAAAAUUGUACUCAAAAGAAUAAUGAAAAAAAAAUCCAUGACAGACCGUUCUAGUCCCUUCCCUUAAUCUUGCUCUCUCAUGCGCACUUUUGUGAGGAAGGGCUUUCUGAUUCCCAAACUUGUGCUAGAGGUUCACUAAAAUCCGACAGUUUAUCACUGAGUCUUUGAAAAGGGUAGAUUUUUCUAGUGUCUAUAUGCCAGAAUUAGCUUCUUGGAAAGGGUUUCCUCUCUCUCUCUCUCUCUUGCCCAAUGAAGUUGUUCUAGAUCACUACCAUCAGCAGAUUCUUCCAACUAAAGAGAUAGAAAAUAGGGUUCAACAAUAUAGACACUUGAGCUUCAGAAAGUUACUGUUCGGAUCAGGCCUGACCUAGACCUGAUCCAAAUUAUACCCGCUUAACCACCAACAUGAACAAGUUAACACUAAGCUACAUUAGUUCACUAAGCAAGCACAUUCCCAUUGCAUUGGCACAAUUCAAAGAUGCAAAAGGGAGCCAAACAACAUUUCUGAACAUGAUCAACUACCUGACCACAGUGACCCGGCAACUUCCGUUUUGAAUACUAAUUGCAUAUUUACUAUGGGCUAAUAAGAAGACAAAAAAACAUCCAGUUAAAAUGAUAAAAGUAAUAAGCAUUGUAUUGCCUCUAGAAGGUCGAAUUAAAUACCAAAAGCAAGAGAAAUAUGACAAUGAAAUAAAAGUUGAAAAAAAUGAAAAUAUAAAAUGAAAAAAAAUCAUGAAAAAUUAUGAAAAAAUCGGAUAAACUGAUUGUCAAUGAUUUUUACAAAAUAUCAAGAUUUUUCCUUUUUAUUUUUUGUUAAGAUUGCAUUACUUUUCAAAAAUAUUGUGAUAUUUGUGGCUAUGGUUUUGACAAAACUCAAUUUAACAAAAGGCCUGACAAAGCUGCCUCCUCCCAGUUUUUCAAGCGCUUUGUGAAAUUGAGUUUUUGACGAGCCACCCAAACACCAAAACCAAUUAUUAAAAUCUAUUUUAAAAAAUCAUUUUUUCGAAAACAUGGUUUUCACAAAACACCAUUUUCAAACGGUGUCAUCGAAACACUACCUUAUCUUUUUUCAUUAAAACUUUUUAUCAACGCUAGUACUUUCUAACUUCAUAUGUGCUGUCUUUACUCUUUAGUCAUGAUUUAGAAUUGGACUUCAAAGAGUUUGCAUUUGUAAUAGAGUUCACCAUUAUUGCUUUAAUAUGUGUACUUUGUACAUAUAAAAUAGUAAGGAGGCAUUUGGAUGACACCUAGAAACCAAUUUCUGGAGAUAUAAAAUGGUUUUGCUUCUAAAAUGUCAUUUCAUGCACGUUUAAACCUUAGUCACAAGUCACAACUAAUGUUUCAGAGUUUUAAACAGUGAGGUUUCCGUGUAAUACGGCAAGCUUGAAAAUACUGGAAAAAACGGGACAAAAAGCAGAAACAAGAAGACUACAUGUCCAGUCUUUUUUAGUACUGCUUACCUCAAAAAAUCCAAGGCAAAUCUGCAAAUCGACUGAAAAAACCAAAGCAAAUCCUACCUGCACAGUGCGCAAGGACAGACCGCUGGAGAUAUGCUGGGUGCUGAAAAAUGUACCCAGCCGUCGGAGGUUUUAUGUGGCUGCCACUCGACUAAAGCUGCGACCAACAAACGCAUGUCGGUGUGACCCACCGGUAGGUCAGAAAUGUCACCUAAAUCGUGUCAAGUUGUUUUCCUCUCUGUCGAUGAAAUGUUUUUAACGUCAUACGUUCUACAACUUGGUCAUUUCUUUUACGAAUCUACCAUUUAAAAUUUUUAAAAAUUACAAGUGAUGCUAUCACCGGAAAAAAAAAUCUCGCUUGUAAAAAAGACGCAAAAAAUCACGUUUUUUAAGUGUUUUUUUUUUUUACUGCUUUUUUGAAAAAAAUGUGUUUUUUCCCCUUCUUUCAGUGAUUCAUUUUCCCACUUUUUUUUUUGGAAAAUAAUGCAUUUUUCAUGACACUAGUUUGGACAAUACAGGAAACGAGUUUUACAAAAACUUGAGUUUGGCAAACCUGUUUUUUGGAAGGGAGUGAAUAACCUGGCACCCACCAAGUUAUUCACAAAAAAAUGUGUUUUGGUCAUAUCACCGAAGCACACAACCCAUGUCAUAUAGAUACAGGUCUAGGUGCCGGUACGGGCACCAGUACGCAUAUGGGUGCGAAGAACUUUGAAACUGAGAAAUGGUCUAAAUCUUUGUAGUGACAACCCAGCCAAACAGACCCACAUACCUAGCUCAUCAAAUCCCAAACCACUUUGAAGGUGGGUAGCUGAUUCUGGGGGCACAGUAAAAGGCUAUCAACCACGACUAUCGGUAGUACAGCAGAUGAGUAUUUAAACCUAUGUCACAUAGGUACAGUACAUGCACAUAUGGGUACCAGGAUGGGUACGAGUACAAUGCACUUUCAAAAAAUUUGGGUACAAAGAGUAAGAUUUUAAUCAAAUAAAACACUAUAGAAAGUUCUAUUAAAGACAACUUAUAACUAAGUUGACUGAAAAAUCGUUGGUCACCGGAAUAUCUCGUCGAAAAGCCCUACUGAAUAGGUUCAAAUUCAACUUCAAUCAAACUACAAAGAAUAUGAAGAGUCCUUUAGUUUCUACUAAGGGCUCUUCAUUGCCAUCAAAUAUACACGAUUGUUUAGAAAAAAAAAUUAAUUUGUGGACAAAAGUGAAGUUAGUCAAGUUUGAUCGAGUCCAGAAAAAGAACGGCAUGGUGCAUUUGAGUCGUUGACCACCUAUGUCAUCACAUGGGUGCGGGUGUUGGUGCGGGUGCUGGGUGCAGCAAGUUCCAAAAAAAAUUGAGUUCGGAUGCGGCAUAUAAAUAUAUACAUAUAUAUAUAUAUAUAUAUAUGUUAUUUAAGUAAUUUUAUUUGUCUACUUUUUUACAUUUUUUUAAUCAAGGUUACCUUAAUCUCAUACAAAAUUCAAAGUUUAAUUAAAUAAAAUAAGAGGGAGAGAGAGAAGAGGGAAAGAUAGGAGAAGGAAAAAAAAUGAAAAAAAAAACACAAGAGAAAAGAAGAACCGAUGCGGUCAGCAACACCCGAUUCGGUUUGAUCAAGUUAGGUGUCGUGUUAGACCAUACCAGCACCUGCAUCAGUGGGGUGCGCCACCAUAGUUGGCGCACCCGUGCGACUUAGUUGACCACACCCGACACAGGUCUGACCUAGGCCAUGUCCAAAGGCAUACCUGCACCCAUACCCAUGUCAACAUGCCGUACCCAUGACGCACCCAUGUCAACAUGGGUAUGACACCCAAAUAGAGGUACCCAUACGACAUAAAUUUAAACCUUUGAAGACUUUUGAAAAUCUUCAAUAUAUGAUUAUUCUCAAGCACCAUCAUAAACAUGGGGUUUUACAAGUUGUGCUCCUCAAGGCCAAUGUUGUACGUAUCGUACGAUACGACCCCGUAUCGUACGAUACGUAUCGUCUUGUUUGAAAAAAACGGUACGAUACACCCCCGUAUCGUAAAAAAGGGGUGUACCGACCCUGUAUCGCACGUAUCGUACGAUACAGGGCCUGUAUCGUACGAUACGGGGCGAUACACCCCGUAUCAUACGAUACGGGCUAAAAACGCAAAAGGGGGCCCGAGACCUACUUAUUCGGCUUCUUUUUGAAAUUUUUCUUCCGUUCUUCAUUUCUAACGCUUGGAUAGUGCCGUAAGGGAGGGCGAUCGUUCAUUUUCACCGUCAAAAACUUGAUUUUCAUCGUUAAAUCGAACAUUAAGUGGUCGAUCUGUGCGUGGGUGCUUGAUUUUCGUGGGAAGGAAAGGGAUUUUCUUCAUUUCAGACAUUUCUUCUUCGUAAGGUAUGAAAUCUCAUGUUCUUACCAUGUAUUCUUAAUUUUUUACCGUAUAAUCGUAGAUUGGAAGACUUUGAGUGUUUUUCAUUAAGUUUACCAUAGGAUUUCGUUUUUUUUUUUUUGAAGAUAUGGAUCCUACAUGGCAAUGGUGCGAAAGGGUGAAGGAGAAUAACCGUUUGAAACUCAAAUGUGGCUUCUGUGGGAAUACAUUUUCAAGAGGGAUUAUUAGAAUGAAACACCAUUUGGCAGGGACCUCCAAAGAUGCGUCUCCUUGUGUUGGAGGACCAAACAAACCUUUGCCUCCAUUUGUGCGUCAACAAUGUUUAGAUAUGCUUCAUGCUUUACGUCAAAAGAGAAUACAAAAAGAAAUUGAAGAUGUAGAUGUAGGCUAUAAUGUGCCUUUGGAAGAUGAAGAAGAAGAGGAAGAAGCUUAUGAAUGUGAUGAUGAAGACGAUAGCAGUCUAAGAACAGAUUUGGAGACCUCAAGAGGUAGAGAUCGUAGAGGAAAAGGGAUUAUGUAUGAAGGAGGUCGAUCUGGCAUAACGGGAAGGAACAGGAGAGGCACAACAGAUAUUAGGGCCAGGCGAGGUAUGCGACCACCUAGUGGUAGAGUUCCUACUGGUAGGUCUAGUGUUGGCUCUAUUAAGAGUUUUUUCCCUUCAUAUACCAACCCAGGUGGUCAGCCGCAGAUUCGUGCUGCUAUGACAUCUAAAGAUAUGCUAUAUCAUGCACAAAAGCAGGUAGGGAAAUGGUUUUAUGAUGCAUGCAUUCCAUUUAAUGCAGCUAAUUCUUUUCAAUUCCAAGUCAUGGCAGAUGCAAUUGCUUCUAUAGGCCCCGGAUUCAAAAUGUCAUCAUAUCAUCAGUUGAGGGGCAACAUUCUUCAGGAUACAGUCAAAGAAGUGUAUGAGCAUUGCGAUGAGUUGAAAUUAUGUUGGAAGGAAACAGGUUGCUCCAUUAUGUCAGAUGGUUGGACUGAUACAAGGUCAAGAACACUUGUAAAUUUUCUUGUUUAUUGCCCUAAAGGUACAAUGUUCUUGAAAUCUCUUGACUUGUCUGAUGUUCCUAAGACUGCUGAGAUUUUAUUCAAUGUUUUUGAUAAUGUCGUACAAGAAGUUGGACCUGCAAACAUUGUACAGUUUAUUACAGAUAAUGCUGCAAAUUAUAGAGUUGCAGGAGAUUUGUUAUUUCAAAAAUAUAGAACAUUUUAUUGGAGUCCAUGUGCCACUCAUUGUGUUAAUCUAAUGCUUCAAGAUCUUAAUGAGAUGCAUGAUAUGAAAUCAGUCAUUGACCAAUGUCAAGAGGUAACAAAAUUUAUCUAUAAUCAUGCAUAUGUAUUGAGUUUGAUGAGAAAAUUUACAAAAGGAGUUGAAUUAAUACGACCUGCACAAACUAGAUUUGCCACAAAUGUAUUGACUGUGCAGUGUGGUGAAACAAAGAACUCCUUUGAGACAUAUGUUUGCUAGUGAAGAAUGGGCUACAUAUCCACAUGCUCAUAAAAGAAAUGCUUCUUUAGUUGUGGAUAUUAUAUUCAAUAACGUAUUUUGGGAAUCAUGUGUGAAGCUAUUGAAGGUUUGUGUUCCAUUAGUUAAGGUUCUCAGGUUGGCUGACAGUGAAGACAGACCUUCCAUAGGGUACUUAUAUGAGGCUAUGGACAAAGCAAAAGAGGCAAUUCGAGACAACUUAAAGGAAAAGAAAAAGUUAUAUAUGCCCAUAUGGAAGAUUAUAGAUAAAAGGUGGACUGGAUAGCUUCAUCAACCUCUUCAUGCAGCAGCUUAUUAUCUAAAUCCUGCAAUUAGAUUUUCUCCUACAUUUAAGAAGGACAGAGAAGUCAUGCAUGGUUUGUUAGAUUGUAUUAAUGUGUUAGUGGAAGAUUCUACAAAACAAGAUGUUGUGCACAAUGAGUUGGAUCUAUAUGAUAGUUGUUUUCGGAACAUGGGACUACCUGCCGCCGUUCGAGCCAGGACAACGAUGCGUCCAGGUAAAUACAUAGAAAUUUUUAAUUUACUUUGCAUUUGUUACAUUUGAUUCUUUUAAAACUUUCACAUUGAUUUGUUAUAUUUUUGUUUAGAUUUGUGGUGGAAUAGGUAUGGGUUUGAUUGUCCAAACCUAGCACGUUUUGCAGUCAAAGUCCUCAGUCAGACAUGCAGUGCUAGUGGAUGCGAAAGGAACUGGAGUGUGUUCCAACAUAUCCAUAGCAAAAAAAGGAAUAGGCUCGAACAUAAAAGGUUGAAUGACCUUGUCUUUGUUCGAUAUAAUAUGAGGUUGAAACAAAGAGAAUUAGAAAAAUCAUUAGCAAGGAAGCACACAUCUCAGUUCGAUCCUAUCAGCUUGAAAAAUUUUGACGAUCUAGAGCCAUGGAUUGAAGAAGAACCAGCUGCAAUAUUUGAUGAUGAAGAUCUUGAAUGCUUCAACCCUGAAGCUGAAGCAACAGAAGGCUUUGUUGAUGAAGGAGAGUCUGCUACUGCUGGUAUUGGUGCUGAAUAUGUUGGUGAAGAUCUUCCAAUUCUUGACGAUGAAGAAGAAGAAGAAGAUGAAGAUUAUGAAUGAUGAAUCAUGAAUGAGAGUCAAGUCAAGAGUGCUUUCAUUUUAUAUGUAUCAAAAACUUAAGAGUUAUGAAUCUAUGGUUGUUGAACACUUGAUUGAAUGUUUUAUGACUUUAUCAGUUUAUGGCUUAUGGCCUUAUGCUUUGUUGAAUGAUAUUGUAUUAUUGUUAUGAAUUUUGAUGUUUAUGAAUGAUGAACGCGUAAGUUUAUAGCAAUAAUAAGUCUAUCAUUAUCUCAAACAUGUUUCCUAUGAACAAUUUAUUAUUUUUAAUUUUCUCUAAUUUUUUUAUGAAUUUUCCGAAUUUUUUUAAAUUUUUUUCUGAUUUAUUAAUAAUUUUUAAAAAAAAUUUACGAUACGGUUACGAUACGGCGUAUCUUAAAGCCCGACCGAUACGGCUUACGAUACGCGUUUUACAACAUUGCUCAAGGCACAUGCAUCCUGCAUGUAUGGGAUGUCAGGUAAUGUAUUAACCUAGAAUUGGCUUUGAGACAAUUGUAACCCAAUUUUGCAGAUCCAACCUGCUAGUGCUUGUAACCCACUUUAAUUCAGAUCCUAUAAGGCUAUUAACUAGGAGGUCCAGGACAAGCAGUAGUUAGAUAAUAUGACAAAUGGGCAUGUAAACCUUCAAAGAUUUCUAAGGAUCGUCCUCAAAUUCUAUCAUGCAAGGUUGUUAACCUAGCAUGUGGUAGUCAAUCACAAGUGGAUACUCUUGUCACACCCUGGAUACCUACACAAGAUGAAUUGACCUAGGUCAUCCCAUCUCACUACAUGAACCGCAUAUGUGAUAAGUCUAGAAAUGGUCAAGGGAUUUCUCACUACUCAUCAACUGAUCUCAAUUUGACAUUUGGUUUUAUUGGGGAUUCCACCUUUUAAAUGCCACUAGACAGCCUAUAUUUAACCACAAAUUGGUCGCAUUGUCUUGUUGUGACAAAUAUAGUCCUUUCCUUAAGUAAGAAACUUCAAGACCAGAACGUCCAAUAACUUGAGUUUGUUUAAUUUUGUAAGCUAUAACGAAUUACUUGUGAUAUGAAUCAUUUUACAAGUUUCCAAAUGGUAAUCCACAUCUUUCAAGCAUCUUCCAAAGGAAAGAGUUUAGCCAUGUUCAAAGAAUCCUUUAUAUUUUAUAUAAUUGCAUGAAUUUUGAAUAUCAAAUGUCAAGACAUUGUUAACAAAUUCAGGUGGAUAUAGAAGUGUUCUGGUGAACAUCUAGCAGCAAAUCCAUAUAGUUACUUGGAAUUAUGUUGUUAACAAGAAAUGCUAGACAAUAAGCAAAUUCAAACUGGAAUAGACAAAGGUAUGUGCCUAAUAUUAAUGUCCAUAAGAUUAAUGAGCGCAAACCAAUACUAUUGUUUAGAAUUAUGCUACUAACAAUGAAUAUGAGCCAAUAAGCAAAUUCCAUAUGGAAUAGAUGAAAAUAUAUCCCUGAAACUGAUGUGGAUAAGAUUGAUAAACACAUUGCCAAAUAAUAUUAACUAAAACUUGAAACCAGAAAUUAUCUUGCUG